rnacentral:tRNA from 1 species
GGAUUGUGGCUCAGUGGUAAAGCACUCACCUAGCAUGUGCAAGGUGCUGGAUUCGAUCCUCAGCACCA